rnacentral:misc_RNA from 1 species
GAUGAAGAACGUAGCGAAAUGCGAUAAGUAAUGUGAAUUGCAGAAUUCAGUGAAUCAUCGAAUCUUUGAACGCACAUUGCGCCCCUUGGUAUUCCGGGGGGCAUGCCUGUUCGAGCGUCAUUUCAACCCUCAAGCUCUGCUUGGUAUUGGGCUUCGUCCUCCUCGGACGCGCCUCAAAGACCUCGGCGGUGGCGUCUUGCCUCAAGCGUAGUAGAAACACCUCGCUUUGGAGUGCAUGGCGUCGCCCGCCGGACGAAACCUUUUGUAUUUUCUCAAAGGUUGACCUCGGAUCAGGUAGGGAUACCCGCUGAACUUAAGCAUAUCAAUAAGCGGAGGA